rnacentral:sRNA from 1 species
UGUGCGCGCGCGCGCGUAAGUGUGUGUGUGUGUGUGUAAUUAAAAGAAAGAUGCCCAGUCUACAGCAGAUGCUCAAUUAACGCCUGCUGGAUGAAUAAGAGCAAAGUCAUAAACUCAAGCAAGAAAGUCAUAGAAUUCAGGCGAAGAGUAGAAACUGUGUGUUACCAUGGCAACUGCUGCACAUCCUUCCAGCACCAACGGAUCUCAUUUAUAGUCUUGCAAGCCAUGGGAACUGUGCCUGAGUGAGCAGCAGCGACAAAAGCUGCUGACGGGGAGGAUCGGCAACAGACACAACAGUAGUGAUCCCUGAGACAACAUCUCCUGCUGGAGCUGCUCCCCAAAAAUGUUACUUAUAGUUGGAGUAGAAACCCCCGGAAACUCCAAAGCAACCUGCGAAGGAAAAGAAGAAAGCGGGACUAGGUUGAAACAUCGAGCUUACCUGAAGCACAGGCAGGGAAGAGGGAGAGAAGCAGCGCUGAGGACAGAAAGCAAGGAAAAGGACUCAGAAGGAUGGUGUUGGCCAAGCUGCUUCCGAGGCCUCCGAGGACAACAGAGGAGGCCGUGAGGCCGUUUCAUCAAGUACAGAGCAGGAACACCUUCCUCAGUGGCCCAGCCAGUAAUACAAGAAGACAGAGUGGAGCUCGGACAGGACAGUGGAAACUUCUCAGGCGAAGAGCUGCAGGAGCAGUUCUUAGGAAGCAGAGGUAUAGAGGAAAAACCAUGGAGACCUUAGAGACAAGGCUUGGAAGAACUGAAGACAAAAGCCAUGGUUGGGUUACUGGAAGAGUUCCAAGGAGCUGCGAAGCUCUGAGGUGUGUCCAACCUUUUGGCAUUGCUUCAUGAAACUGUCGUCCAGAGUUCAAGCAACUGAAUUUUUUAAAAAAAAUGCAAAAUUAUGUUUUGAGCUAAGUCCAUGUGUUUGGUUUGUGCUACACUCAGAACUAUUUUUGGGCCAGGACAGGCUUGCAGGGCUGUGAAUACCGAUUUUCAAGAGCUGUGACUCUGAGCAGAGGCUUACUUGAAGCUUGAGAUUGAUCCUUGACAGGGGACAGUGGCACAUGCCUUUAAUUCAGCACUGGGGUUGAGGUAGGGGAUCUGAGGUCAGCCAGACUACAGAAUGAGUUCUAGGACAGCCAUGGCUACACAAAGAAACUGGAGGGUUGGGGAUGGGGGAACAAGCUCCAUGGGUCUCAACACUCAGGGUUUGAGAACCAUAAAAGUACUUAGUGGAAGGAAAUGGUUUGUGUGGGGCUCCUGGCAACCUACCUAACUCCAGAGAAGAAAGUCUGUUUCUGAAGCACUUAGAGUAUCUGCCUUCUAGAACCCGGAGCCAUAAGCCUUUCUCAAGAUUUGGAUUAUGAGUACAGGCACUGGGGCUUUGGGUUCUCAAAGGUCUGGGCCUGCCAGCGCUAGAAUAGAUACUAAUUAAAACAGGCUAAUUAAAACUAAA